GACGUAGGGCGCAAGCGUUGUCCGGAUUUAUUGGGCGUAAAGAGCUCGUAGGCGGCUUGUUGCGUCGACCGUGAAAACCCGUGGCUCAACUGCGGGCUUGCGGUCGAUACGGGCGGGCUAGAGUUCGGUAGGGGAGACUGGAAUUCCUGGUGUAGCGGUGAAAUGCGCAGAUAUCAGGAGGAACACCGGUGGCGAAGGCGGUUCUCUGGGACGGUACUGACGCUGAGACGCGAAAGCGUGGGGAGCGAACAGG
rnacentral:rRNA from 1 species